UAUUGAUUCUGUAGAGGGAAUGUGCUGGCUUCAAUGGAGCAAUGUGCACUCCCCUCUCAAAUCUCAUUCACCCUGUGGACAUAUGAUGGGCAUUGGAAAGGAAACCAAGACAACUUGGUUCCCAACUUUUGCUCGUUGCAUUUUCUCACACCAAACUAUGAUAUUGU
rnacentral:misc_RNA from 1 species